rnacentral:rRNA from 1 species
UGCUAUAAUGCAGUCGACGCUUCUUUUCCCACCGGAGCUUGCUCCACCGGGAAAAGAGGAGUGGCGAACGGGUGAGUAACACGUGGGUAACCUGCCCAUCAGAAGGGGAUAACACUUGGAAACAGGUGCUAAUACCGUAUAACAAUCGAAACCGCAUGGUUUCGUUUUGAAAGGCGCUUUACGGUGCCGCUGAUGGAUGGACCCGCGGUGCAUUAGCUAGUUGGUGAGGUAACGGCUCACCAAGGCCACGAUGCAUAGCCGACCUGAGAGGGUGAUCGGCCACAUUGGGACUGAGACACGGCCCAAACUCCUACGGGAGGCAGCAGUAGGGAAUCUUCGGCAAUGGACGAAAGUCUGACCGAGCAACGCCGCGUGAGUGAAGAAGGUUUUCGGAUCGUAAAACUCUGUUGUUAGAGAAGAACAAGGGUGAGAGUAACUGUUCACCCCUUGACGGUAUCUAACCAGAAAGCCACGGCUAACUACGUGCCAGCAGCCGCGGUAAUACGUAGGUGGCAAGCGUUGUCCGGAUUUAUUGGGCGUAAAGCGAGCGCAGGCGGUUUCUUAAGUCUGAUGUGAAAGCCCCCGGCUCAACCGGGGAGGGUCAUUGGAAACUGGGAGACUUGAGUGCAGAAGAGGAGAGUGGAAUUCCAUGUGUAGCGGUGAAAUGCGUAGAUAUAUGGAGGAACACCAGUGGCGAAGGCGGCUCUCUGGUCUGUAAC